CCGGCCAGGGACCGGUCCACUACUCCCGGUUCCUUUUUCUCUCGACGUCACCCGUCGCCUGCCACGUUUCAGUGCUCUAAUCUCGUCGACGACGCCUGCUCACGAUCCCUGUCACGCCGAGGUCCCGCCACCGCCGCCGAUUCCGAAGGAAUCUCUCUCCCUCUCUUUUAAGCUACUAGCUCGUGGUUUCAUCUGUUGCUACGGCAAGUUACUCAGGGAAUGGCACCAUAGGGUUGCCAAAGGUAUGGUCGAGCAAAAUUUGGUUGUACAGAGACAAAGUUACCAAUGACCCAAUGGGUGAUGCAACAAUUACAUACAAGGAUCCUCAUGCUGUUGUUGAAUGGUUCCACAACAAGGAUUUUCAUGGAGCCCCCAUUGAAGUACAUAUAGCAGAGUCAAAAACCAAAGAUUUGAAUGAUCAUUCAUAUGCUCAACAGAAUGGCUUUGAAGCAAAUUCAAGCACGGUACCUGGGGUGUAUGAUGAUGUGGAUCGUGGUGGAGGUAGAGGUAUAAGUCGUGGUGAUGCUUCAGGACAGUCAUGGCAGAAAGAUGGAGACUGGAUGUGUCCAAAUACAAGGUCUUUGGUAUGACAAUGAUGUUCGAAUGUGAACUUUGCAUUCUGAGGUGUUUGUAAUUGGUGUGGGACAGCUUGACCUGCUGGUGCUGGUGGAACAGGUGCUGUUGGUGGUAGAGGGAGGGGCCGUGGUGGUGGUGAUACUGGGGAACGUGCCCGUCAUGUUGGUGGUUCUAUGGGGCUCUUUGGUUCAAAUGACUGGCCCUGUCCAAUGAUGAUGGGGAAAUAUAUGAUGAAUUUGGCAACCUUAAGAAGAAAUUCCGUGCAAAAACACAACGGGCUGAAUCUGGACAGAUGGUUCCUGGUUCUGGACGUGCUGAAUGGGAGGUUGAUGAGACAGUUAUGACUGGGAGACAUGGUAUGGAUAAAAGCAGAGACCGCUGCAGAGAUAGCAACAAGCGAGAAAGCAGCAAGAACAGAGAAAUAGAUGGUCCUGAGAGGGAAAGGCGCUGCAGCCGAAGCAGAGAAAAGGAGAGGGAGUGUGAGAAGGAAAGGCGGAGAGUUUCAGAUACAGAGCACCUAGUACAAAAGAUGUUGGUGAUUGGUAGUAGUGCUUAACCAACCCUAGAUUUGAUUACUGUGCAUUCUCUUGAUAUCACAGCGUUGAAGUUUUGUUAUUCAAACUGUCUUAUGUUGCCUGUACCUGGAAGCUUUAUGCUAAAAUUCUCAGUUCCACACUUA